UUAUUAAGUUAAUCAAAUCUAGUUCCCCCAAUGAGUAAUCGUUGGGUUGAGUUCUCUCUAAUUGCUGGGAUAUCCUGUUAAACUAAUCUACCACUGCGAGUCGAAAGACAAAGCCAAGGUUUGAAAAAGAUUAGGUAGGGCCAAUCAGCAGCCAAGCUCCGUAACAUUCCAUUUAGGAAUAGGAGAAGGUUCAACGACUAUUACGGUAUCAGGUGCACCGGUCCUAGAAAUAGGAUGUAGGGUCAAGUGACUCGAAAUGGGAGACACCCCACUCCGAAAGGAAGGGUGAAGAUAUAGUCUGGUCUUCUAGCGAGAGCUAGAG
rnacentral:ncRNA from 1 species